AUUGAACGCUGGCGGAAUGCUUUACACAUGCAAGUCGAACGGCAGCACGGGGGCAACCCUGGUGGCGAGUGGCGAACGGGUGAGUAAUACAUCGGAACGUGCCCAGUCGUGGGGGAUAACGUAGCGAAAGCUACGCUAAUACCGCAUACGAUCUAAGGAUGAAAGCGGGGGAUCGGAAGACCUCGCGCGCUUGGAGCGGCCGAUGGCAGAUUAGGUAGUUGGUGGGGUAAAGGCUCACCAAGCCGACGAUCUGUAGCUGGUCUGAGAGGACGACCAGCCACACUGGGACUGAGACACGGCCCAGACUCCUACGGGAGGCAGCAGUGGGGAAUUUUGGACAAUGGGCGCAAGCCUGAUCCAGCCAUUCCGCGUGCAGGAUGAAGGCCCUCGGGUUGUAAACUGCUUUUGUACGGAACGAAACGGCUCUCUCUAAUACAGGGGGCUAAUGACGGUACCGUAAGAAUAAGCACCGGCUAACUACGUGCCAGCCGCCGCGGUAA
rnacentral:rRNA from 1 species